rnacentral:lncRNA from 10 species
AGUGCCACGUGGCGCGGGAGCCUAGCUGAUCGCGUGCAUGACGAGGGCCAGCGUGGCUGGCUGCUUGGCCCGCAGACCUGGGCAGCGGGAAACGCGUACUUGAGAGCGCAUGGCUUCAAGCUUCUCCCUUGCGCUCAUGAUCUUAGGCUGGUCGCUUUUUCUUUUAGGCGGAACACAGUUCACACUGGGCGCCUCCAACUCUCUGGAAUUCUAGGCAACAGAUUAACACUUUGUGAAUCUCGAAGAGCUGCACUCCUGCUAAAUAUUGGAGUUAAUGCUGAUCCUUUGGAAGUCUCUGAAGGUUGCAAGAUUGUGCUGGGAGCCUCUGGCUUCAUUUGCCCUUCUCACACCUUAUUUUAAUACAAGGUCGAGCACACUGAACUACCUGGAGUAAAGGGGCAUCAUGUCUGAAACUGAUGCUUAAGUGGCUCAGAAAAAAAAUUCUGGGAGCUAGAGGGAGAGAGAGACAGAGGAGUGUGGUAAAAAGUUAUCAUUUGGGGGGUCUGCGUAAAAGGUAUAUGAGGAUUCUUUGUACGG